UACGUAGGGGGCUAGCGUUGUCCGGAAUCAUUGGGCGUAAAGAGCGUGUAGGCGGUCCGGUAAGUCCGUUGUGAAAGUCAAGGGCUCAACCCUUGAAUGCCGGCGGAUACUGUCGGGCUAGAGUCCGGAAGAGGCAAGUGGAAUUCCCGGUGUAGCGGUGAAAUGCGCAGAUAUCGGGAGGAACACCUAUGGCGAAGGCGGGUCUCUGGGCCGAUACUGACGCUGAGGAGCGAAAGCGUGGGGAGCGAACAGG
rnacentral:rRNA from 1 species